UUGUAUGUUUAUUUAUUAUUAUAUUUUGU
rnacentral:guide_RNA from 1 species